GCCCUAGCACAGGUGCUGCAUGGCCGUCGUCAGCUCGUGCCGUGAGGUGUUGGGUUAAGUCCCGCAACGAGCGCAACCCCCGCCGUUAGUUGCCAGCGGUUCGGCCGGGCACUCUAACGGGACUGCCCGCGAAAGCGGGAGGAAGGAGGGGACGACGUCUGGUCAGCAUGGCCCUUACGGCCUGGGCGACACACGUGCUACAAUGCCCACUACAAAGCGAGGCCACCCGGCAACGGGGAGCUAAUCGCAAAAAGGUGGGCCCAGUUCGGAUUGGGGUCUGCAACCCGACCCCAUGAAGCCGGAAUCGCUAGUAAUCGCGGAUCAGCCAUGCCGCGGUGAAUACGUUCCCGGGCCUU
rnacentral:rRNA from 1 species